rnacentral:lncRNA from 1 species
UAUCAUUCAGAGGAAGAUCAUAUCAGGCUAAGCUAAGCUAAUGUAAUAAAACCUGAGCUGGUACAGUGAGUAAAGGUAAAGAAUGUCAGUGACUCCAUCACAGCCUGUUGGACCUGCAGGCAGCGCUCAGGGAAUACACGUGCCUGCUCCUCUGCACUGCUCCAUGUCUGCAUAUGAGCUGUUUGAUGCUGUUUAUCUUUUGUGAUUACCAUCAUCAAUAUCUCUGACCGAUGCCAGAGAGGCAGCGGAGCUCCUCACUGAGGCUUGGUUUGCAUGUUCUCACCUGGACAAACGGAGCAGACUUUUCCAGGCAGUCACUAAAAUGCGCUCUGACUCUUCGUUUAUUUAGAGGAAAACUCGCUCGGAGCUGCAAGAAUUCCCACAGAGAGAGAGCGAGAGAGAGAGAGAGAGAGAGCGAGAGAGAGAGAGAGAGAGAGAGAGAGCCGACCUUCUCCUCUGAGACUAAACAGGAACGCACAUCAGGCUUCAAUAACAGCACUUCUCCACCUGUGUGAUGUCACUUCCUCUUUCAGAGAGCCAUGCUUCCUGUCUGUGGAUGCUACUUCCUGUGAGGUGAGCAGAUGAAGCAGUGAGUCCUACAGAACUCAUGUUGAUGAAGGAGAAAUGAACUAAUGAACAUAUUUCCUGUUUACAGAUGUUACAGGUAAAGGGGCGUGGCUUAGCUCAGAGGCUUCAGGUUGGUUCUGUUUUAAAGUGAGCGUCACACAUUAGUAACUUUACCUGUUGUGUAUGAAUGUUGUUUAUAGAUAACUUAAGCUUUUGUGUCUUUGGAGCACUUUGAAUCUCUGAAUCAGCCAAAGUUUGGUGUUAAAGCAGUGGUUCUCAACCUUUUUUGGGUCGUUACCCCAUUUUUACAUCACAAAUUUGUGUGUUACAAUAUUCUAGUAGUAUUACAAAUACAGAG